AUGUGUUAUGCAAAUCAAGUCUCACGCACAGCGCAACUUGCUAGCCUGUUAAUCAUCGAAUAUCAUCGGCCGUACGUCCAUCAGCUGGGAGAAGACCGUCCAUUAAUCGGUAGUAGGAGCUUGUGGAGGAGGCAGCGCGGCCGACGCUGCUACAACGCUCCUCUUCAUCACCCGCUUCCAUGCCGAGGAGCUUGCUGCCCCAGCCAUGGCGAUGGUGAGGGGUUGGGAAGUGUUAAGAGGGGGGAUUACAAGGGGCUUUCUGUAAAAAAAAGAGCAACGACGACGGCCUCUAAGUUGACAUGGCAUGGGUCAACGCGUCACGCAAGCAGGUCAGCGAAAGUUCGUGCAGAAAGGACCUCACGUGAACCACUUACUAUAGAAUUAUGA
rnacentral:rRNA from 1 species